rnacentral:rRNA from 1 species
GAUGAACGCUGGCGGCGUGCCUAAUACAUGCAAGUCGAGCGAACAGACGAGGAGCUUGCUCCUCUGACGUUAGCGGCGGACGGGUGAGUAACACGUGGAUAACCUACCUAUAAGACUGGGAUAACUUCGGGAAACCGGAGCUAAUACCGGAUAAUAUAUUGAACCGCAUGGUUCAAUAGUGAAAGACGGUUUUGCUGUCACUUAUAGAUGGAUCCGCGCCGCAUUAGCGAGUUGGUAAGGUAACGGCUUACCAAGGCAACGAUGCGUAGCCGACCUGAGAGGAUGAUCGGCCACACGAGAACUGAAACACGGUCCAGCCUCCUACGGCGGGCAGCAGUAGGGAAUCUUCCACAAUGCACGAAAGCCUGACGGAGCAACGCCUCGUGAGUGAUGAUGGUCUUCGGAUCGUAAAACUCUGUUAUUAGGGAAGAACAAAUGUGUAAGUAACUAUGCACGUCUUGACGGUACCUAAUCAGAAAGCCACGGCUAACUACGUG